rnacentral:piRNA from 1 species
UGACACUCCAGACAUGCCUCGGUCACUCC